AUCAAUGGUCAUACCAUGGUUGGCUGUGCAGCGUUUGGAUGCUCCAAUCGGUCCGAGAAGGGUUACCACAUGUAUGGCUUCCCCAAGGACCAAGAGCGCAGGAAGAAAAGGAUGGCAAUGGUCAGCCGUCAAAACGUAUAAGUGACAGGGUCAGCAACCGUCAAAAACGAUGUAAUGUAAGUAAUGUUCACAUCACUUGAUAGCAUUUCAAAGGGCAUAAUAAUUCUAAGUGUUGAGAAUUAUGACUUUUCAAUGUUAUUUGAAGUGCAAUGGAAACGGAUCUUACAAGCCUACCUAUAAGGUACACUUUGAAGAUGACCAAUUCACUGCCACAAAAAGAGAAGGGAUGUUGAAGCUAAGGCCCGAUGCAGUCCCAACAGUUUUCAUUCAUCGCCCUAAGCCGAAGAGGAGAAAACCCCCUUCUGUGAGGGUGCCUCCAGAACCAAGUGCAACGGACCACACAUAUUUCACCAAAUUAAACUUCGAGAUUGAGGGAGAAAUUGAGGUGGAUUUCAAGAGCGAUGAAAAGGACAUGACAGGAGACACAGAGAGCAAUCAAGAGGCCACUUUGCCAGUGGCAGGUGAUUCAGGGGCAGGUGAUCCAGGGACCAGACUGCCAGGGACUGAUGGGGCGACUGUGGAGGACCUAAUAAGGCAACUAGAAAAGGAAAAAUUAAUGAGAAGGAGAGCAGAGAGGGCUCUUGUAAAACAAAAAAGAAUAAAUUUGGCACCAAGAAAGAGAAACAAUUCAGUCAACAAGAAGUUAAAACGAAAAAGCCAUACAGGUUAAAUUCACCGCCCAUCAUAAUCAGCAUUGUUGAAGCGGCGGCAUCUGUAGGGCUUCAUGUGCUGAACAUCACCCUUCCCAGGAUAUAAUUAAACAAACACACUGUUAUUUCUGCUAGCUAUCGCAUCAUAAAACCCGUCCUUAAAUCAACCUAAAUGAUCCUAGUAAUCCAACAUAAAUAACUAACUAAAUAAAAGUUAGAUUCACUACUGAACUUCGUAAUUGUUGGUGUAGAUACCUUCACAUGGCGAAGUCGAGCUCACAAACCAGCAGGCUAUCGGUCGUCUACCAAGAUAAAAAUAUAUAUAAUUACGCUGUGCAUUUACAAAUAAAUAUCAGUAUAUGCAUCAUAAAGGGCCUUUGAUACAAUAUAGACAGUUGACAGUUGAUUCAAAAGAGGAAGCUAUUUAAUCAAUUUACCUCAGAAGUUACUCGACGGCCAGCAAUGGAAAUGGAUGAUCUCCUACGCCGUAAAAUGGUUGUUUGGAAGUAUUCGAGGCUCCAUACCCCGGAAGUAGGCGCUACAACGGAGUCCAAUGGAAGUGUCGCCACUCUGUUAUAUCUACCACUCUGGCUACUGCAUAUCAAGAACAAUUUGGGGAUGAGGACAUCCCCGAAUAUUGACGGGUAUUUCGCACACUGCCAUCUCAAUAUAUAGCCUAACAUAUACAAAUAUAUCACUGUACUACACAAAUGUAUUUUCCACUAGCUAGUGGUGGUCAUUACAUUGUAGUGAAACUAGUAAAGUCAACACAGCUUUAUGUUACGGCGAAACAUGGAGGCACUGCAGCUCUCGACAAUGCAUUACUUUAGUCUGGUAUUUCUCUUCACUGAUUGGUUAGACAGCCUUCAAACUUAGUGGUCAAGCAAAGAAGAGGGAGGGGCUCGUUCUGCAUACCUAAUAGCCGGAGUGAAUAACUAAUAGCCGCAGUGAAUAACUAAUAGCCGCGGCUAUUAGUCAUUCAAAAACCGUACGGAUUCCGUACGGAAUUCCUGCCAAACCGCACGGAAUCCGUACAGUUUCCGUGCGGUUUUGCACUUUUACCGCGCCAUUCUAGGGCCAGUUAGUGGCCUUCUUGGCUUUCCAUAUGCCGCGUUUCCACUGCAGGGUGCGGAACGGAUCGGAUCGCAAAGGUGCGGUAGGGAGGGGGUGGUAUAGCCCAGCUCAGUUCCGAGGUCGCGUUUCCACGGCUGACAGUACCCUUGGUGGUAGGCCGGAUGUCGAUCGCCGCGGCAGCUACGUAAACAUCGUAAACAACGUCUUCCUCCCCAAGAAUGCGUCUCCACCUCCUUGUUCGCCCAAGCAAGCGUUUUACGUGACAUGUUAAUUGUAAAGAAUAAUACCUCGAGGCUACUGUUUGUUUGUUUUUAUCCCCGCGUCGCCCGGAAGUGAUGAUUCUGUCGACCAAUCAACGGAGGGGGUGUGUAGCUAGAAUUUCCCUGGACCCUUUCAGGCGUCUCGUCUCGUUUUCAGUACCCCAACGGAGGAGUCCUUAAAACGAGGCCAAAACGGGUACGGCUAAGUCCGGGUCACGCCCACUUUUGGCGGUGGAAACGCGACCCGAUCCGCACCUUUGCGAUCCGAUCCGUUCCGCACCCUGCAGUGGAAACGCGCCAUAUGCCGCGUUUCCACUGCAGGGUGCGGAACGGAUCGGAUCGCAAAGGUGCGGUAGGGAGGGGGCGGUAUAGCCCAGCUCAGUUCCGAGGUCGCGUUUCCACUGCCGACAGUACCCUUGGUGGUAGGCCGGAUGUCGAUCGCCGCGGCAGCUACUUAAACAUCGUAAACAACGUCUUCCUCCCCAAGAAUGCAGACGAACGUCUCCACCUCCUUGUUCGACCAAGCAAGCUUUUUACGCGACAUGUUAAUUGUAAAGAAUAAUACCUCGAGGCUACUGUUUGUUUGUUUUUAUCCCCGCGUCACCCGGAAGUGACGAUUCUGUUGACCAAUCAACGGAGGGGGGGUGUAGCUAGAAUUUCACGGGACCCUUUCAGGCGUCUGGUCUUGUUUUGGGUACCGCAACGGAGGAGUCCCGAGAAUGGGGCCGGAACGGGUACGGCAAAGUCCGGGUCACGCCCACUUUUGGCGGUGGAAACGCGACCCGACCCGCACCUUUGCGAUCCGAUCCGUUCCGCACCCUGCAGUGGAAACGCGCCAAUAGAGGCGGGGUGGCCGUCGGGACCAUAGAUAUAUAUAUUAACUACAUGCCCUAUGGCGGCGUCUAGAACGUCACCAUAGGCCGCUAUCUUACCACAGUAAAGCUUUCUGUUGGAAUCUGUUGUAGCGGACGUAAAUCAGUGAUCUGCACAAACGCUAAUACUCUUAUCUCGCUGAAAUCUUGACGGAUUUACAAACGGUGUGGUUUCUUACAAACGUUAUUAACGUGGUUAUAAUUCUGGAAAUGUUUAAAUUGCAGCUUUUCUCUUCGAAAAAUGACUUAAUUGUGCAGCUUAGUUGUGUAUCACGGGUAGGCUACUAUAGCUACCCAGUAAUUUUACAUCGAUGGGAGAGGCAGAAUUGCUAUUUUCAAUAUAAUUUAAGUUGAACAUGAUUAAACUGAAGUUGCAAAUGAUUUCCAAUCGGGUUUGUUUGCCUUAUAUUAUGAAUUAUACAGGAAAUGUAUUGCUGACAAGUGAAGAUGCCAGACUUUUGUGCAGCCUACGGAUGCGUUAAUCUGCGAACUCUCGAAACGAGAACCCGUGCGAUCACCUUUCACCUGUAGGAUAUUACAAUAUUAUGACUUUUAUUUUUAGGAUAAUCGUUAGUUACUUAGUGGAAGUAUAUACAAUACAGGUCUUGUUACACAGGAAAAGUGGGGCUAGUAUGACAUAAUAGUAUAGAGUGGCGAAGUCACGCCCCUUUCCGGUAGAGCUCAUGGGACCUAUGAGAUCGAAAAAUAUGAAUGGGUGUCAAUGGAGAGAAAAUAAUUAUUUUCUGGUCCCAGUUUUUAUAUGCCCUGGAUUACACAUUUGUUGUUUGUGGAUUUAGAUGAUAAUUUUUAAUGCAAAGAAAACUAAAAAUUUUCGUGAAGAAGUUUGAUCAUUUUAGGUUUUAUGUGAGGCCACUUUGUGAACUACAGCUCUUCGCUGCUCUCGACGCAUAUGAUAUACGUCACCACACCCGCACUUGGAACUCGGCACAGAGAUGGCGAUCUCUCUGCUCCACUUCACCACUUUUUUUCAAGGCGAGGAUAAAAGCAUAGAAAGAGGUGAAAACCACUAUAAGUCGGGGCAUGUGGAGAGUUUUUGUUAUGUGCCAUCUCUAUGUGCCAUCUCUGUGCCGAGUUCCAAGUGCGGGUGUGGUGACGUAUAUCAUAUGCGGCGAGAGCAGCGAAGAGCUGUAGUUCACAAAGCGGCCUCACAUAAAACCUAAAAUUAUCAAACUUCUUCACGAACAUUUUUAGUUUUCUUUGCAUGAAAAAUUAUCAUUUACAUCCCCAAACAACAUAUGUGCAAUCCAGGGCAUAUAAAGACUGGGACCAGAAAAUAAUUAUUUUCUCUCCAUUGACACCCAUUCGUAUUUUUCAAUCUCAUAGGUCCCAUGAGCUCUACAGGAAGGGGCGUGACUUCGCCACUCUAUUGCUAGAUUGUUGUUGACACAAGGCUUUUUAGAAUAUGUUUGUUAACACAAUCACUGAAUGGAAUUUUUGACACCUUUUUAUUGUUUUUAGUGUGGUUAAUCUUAAAUACUGAUAAAUACUUUAAAUACUUAAAUACUGUUGACAAUAAUUAAUAUAUCUGGGUGCAUUUCUCACUUUUUUAAGGUUUCAAACCUAUGGUGGCAUCAUUCCUUCAGUGUGUCUCAGGGCUCUCAAGUUUUUAACUGAGUUCAGAGUGAGAUUUUGUCGGCGGGGGGGGGGGUGGUAUAUUAACAUGUGACUGCAUACAAAUGUGUACACAGACAUGGUGACUAAUGUAUGAUAGUAAGCAUUAUUGGCCCUUAACACUAAUAUUCAGAAACAACACUGCCUCAAAAGGCUAUUGGCUUAAGCAACACCAGUAGAGGCAUAUACUUUCCCCUGAACUUUUAAACGUUGCAAACGUGCAAAAACAUAAUUAUAUAUUUAUGUGGCAUUCAGUCCAAUGCUUAAAAUAUAUCUGUGGCAUUCAGGCCAAUGCUGUGGUAAAGUGUGUAAAGUAUGACCAAGUGUUUCUUUCUGUUCAAUAGAUAGAACUUUAUCAAUCCCCUGUAGGAGAAAUGUGUUAAUGUUUGUCCCUAUAAAACAAUAAUGGUAAAAAAAGAAAUACAAAACAUGACGGUACGUGGGUACCUAAGUAGGUCAAACCGUCCAAUCUGAAGGCUCUACUUAACCACUCCCCCUACUCACUUCCACCAAUGCAAAGCGAACAGAACUGAGUAGGGGAGGGCGUAGCCUAACUAGUUUGUGAACGACCAAGAGAAACACAGCGCAAAUGCAAUGUGAACAUGUAUGAGGCUUUAAUAAAAUCCCGGACGAUUUUGAAAUUACGCCACACAUUUGAAAUUACGCCACACAGUGUCUCAAAAAGAGGGCAUGUCCGGGCAAAAGAGGACGUCUGGUUACCCUACGUACGGGAAACCCAUUUGAUUCCUACCUGUUCCUCUGUUAAAUAGCGGCCCAAAUUGGUUGGGCGCUAUCCUGGUAAUUUCUCUGCUUGAGAAAUACGAAGUGUGGCGUGAGAGCGUGUGCUUGGGAUUGCGUGUGUCUCACGCCGAAUGCGUGAGACUUGAGAGAUUGCACAUAUUAUAUUCAUAUUUUAUCUAUGUGUCUAAAUGCAUACUUGACUGCAGAUAGAUUUGAGUGAAGUUACC
rnacentral:lncRNA from 1 species